GACGAACGCUGGCGGCGUGCCUAACACAUGCAAGUCGAGCGAAUGAAGUUCCUUCGGGAAUGGAUUUAGCGGCGGACGGGUGAGUAACACGUGGGCAACCUGCCUCAUAGAGGGGAAUAGCCUUCCGAAAGGGAGAUUAAUACCGCAUAAGAUUGUAGUAUCGCAUGAUACAGCAAUUAAAGGAGCAAUCCGCUAUGAGAUGGGCCCGCGGCGCAUUAGCUAGUUGGUGAGGUAACGGCUCACCAAGGCGACGAUGCGUAGCCGACCUGAGAGGGUGAUCGGCCACAUUGGGACUGGGACACGGCCCAGACUCCUACGGGAGGCAGCAGUGGGGAAUAUUGCACAAUGGGGGAAACCCUGAUGCAGCAACGCCGCGUGAGUGAUGACGGCCUUCGGGUUGUAAAGCUCUGUCUUCAGGGACGAUAAUGACGGUACCUGAGGAGGAAGCCACGGCUAACUACGUG
rnacentral:rRNA from 1 species